UACGUAGGGUGCGAGCGUUAAUCGGAUUUACUGGGCGUAAAGCGCGUGUAGGCGGCCCGUUAAGACAGGUGUGAAAUCCCUGGGCUCAACCUAGGAAUUGCGCUUGUGACUGGCGGGCUCGAGUACGGUAGAGGGGGGUGGAAUUCCUGGUGUAGCAGUGAAAUGCGUAGAGAUCAGGAGGAACACCGAUGGCGAAGGCAGCCCCCUGGGCCUGUACUGACGCUCAUGCACGAAAGCGUGGGGAGCAAACAGG
rnacentral:rRNA from 1 species